GAACCUGAUUUUAGGAUUGGUUUCAUCGGUAGGAGAGCGUUGUGCCGUCAUAGAAUCGUUUACGUGAGUAAAUGUGGAGAUUGCACAAGCGACCAUGCUGACAUGAGUAGCGAUAAAGCGGGUGAGAGACCCGCUCGCCGAUAGCCCAAGGUUUCCUGAGUAAAGCUAAUCUUCUCAGGGUUAGUCGAUCCCUAAGGCGAGGCCGAAAGGCGUAGUCGAUGGAAAACAGAUUAAUAUUUCUGUACCACCUCGUUGUCGUUUGAGAGAAGGGGGGACGCAGGAGGGCAAGUCAUCCGUCUGUUGGAAUAGGCGGUUUAAGCUCGUAGGCUGGAAGAAUAGGCAAAUCCGUUCUUCCUUAAGGCUGAGAAGCGAUGAGGAGGGAUUUAUCCCAUAAACUGACUGCACCCAUGCUGCCAAGAAAAGCCUCUAUCGAGAUAACAGGUGAUCGUACCAAAACCGACACAGGUAGGCAGGGAGAGUAUCCCGAGGCGCUUGAGAGAACUCUGGUUAAGGAACUCGGCAAAAUGAUACCGUAACUUAGGGAGAAGGUAUGCCCUUGAAUGUGACUAAAUUUACUUUAUGAGCGUUCGGGGGCCGCAGAGAAUUGGUGGUAGCGACUGUUUACUAAAAACAUAGGACUCUGCAAAGUCGCAAGACGAAGUAUAGGGUCUGACGCCUGCCCGGUGCUGGAAGGUUAAGGGGAUUUGUUAGCAUUUAUGCGAAGCACUGAACUGAAGCCCCAGUAAACGGCGGCCGUAACUAUAACGGUCCUAAGGUAGCGAAAUUCCUUGUCGGGUAAGUUCCGACCUGCACGAAUGGCGUAACGAUGGCCACACUGUCUCCUCCCGAGACUCAGCGAAGUUGAARUGUUUGUGAUGAUGCAAUCUMCCCGCGGCUAGACGGAAAGACCCCAUGAACCUUUACUGUAGCUUUGCAUUGGACUUUGAACCDAUCUGUGUAGGAUAGGUGGGAGGCUUUGAARCVKGRACGCUAGUUYMBGUGGAGCCGUCCUUGAAAUACCACCCUGGUUUGUUUGAGGUUCUAACCUUGGCCCGUNAAUCCGGGUCGGGGACAGUGCAUGGUAGGCAGUUUGACUGGGGCGGUCUCCUCCCAAAGUGUAACGGAGGAGUUCGAAGGUACGCUHGGUACGGUCGGACAUCGURCBWADAGUGCAAUGGCAAAAGCGUGCUUAACUGCGAGACHGACAAGUCGAGCAGGURCGAAAGYAGGWCAUAGUGAUCCGGUGGUUCUGWAUGGAAGGGCCAUCGCUCAACGGAUAAAAGGUACUCYGGGGAUAACAGGCUGAUACCGCCCAAGAGUUCAUAUCGACGGCGGUGUUUGGCACCUCGAUGUCGGCUCAUCUCAUCCUGGGGCUGKAGCMGGUCCCAAGGGUAUGGCUGUUCGCCAUUUAAAGAGGUACGUGAGCUGGGUUUAAAACGUCGUGAGACAGUUUGGUCCCUAUCUGCCGUGGGCGUUGGAAUCUUGACGGGGGCUGCUCCUAGUACGAGAGGACCGGAGUGGACGUACCGCUGGUGUACCUGUUGUCUCGCCAGAGGCAUCGCAGGGUAGCUAUGUACGGAAGAGAUAACCGCUGAAAGCAUCUAAGCGGGAAACUYGCCUGAAGAUGAGGAUUCCCUGGAGRCUUGAYCUCCYUGAAGGGUCGUUCGAGACCAGGACGUUGAUAGGCUGGGUGUGGAAGCGCAGUAAUGCGUUMAGCUAACCAGUACUAAUUGCCCGURMGGCUUGAUCCU
rnacentral:rRNA from 1 species